CUUCAUGACUGACGGUCGGGUCUCAUCGCCGUGGAGAUAAAGGCAAACAUGAGCUUCAUCAUCAUCAUCUUCCUCUGGACGCUCGUCUUCUGCAGUCAGGGAACCACAGGGCAAAAGACAGUGACUCAGACUCCACCAGUGAAAUCUGCUGUCCCAGGCAUCACAAUUACCAUGAACUGUAAAACCAGCACUUCCAGUGGGCUUGGUAAUGAUGUAUCCUGGUACCAGGUUAAACCCGGAGAAGCUCCUAAGCUCCUAGUAUAUAAAGCAAGCACCCUCAACUCUGGGAUUCCAGCGAGGUUCAGUGGAUCUGGAUCUGGGACUGACUUCACUCUACAGAUCAGUGACGUCCAGCCUGACGAUGCCGCUGAUUACUACUGUUUGGCUUAUUACACUGGUCCAAUGCUCACCUUCGGCGGUGGCACGAGGCUUGAUGUUGGAAAAACCACAACCCCGACCCUCACAGUGCUGCCCCCUUCUGGCGAGGAGCUCUCCAGCAAGCAAAAAGCCUCGCUGGUUUGUUUGGCCAACGGCGGCUUCCCCUCCAGCUGGGCGCUGAGCUGGAAAGUGGAUGGAGCGUCCAAGAGCUCCUCCGUGGCGAGCAGCACCGGGCUGCUCCAGAGGGGCGGCCUUUACGGCUGGAGCAGCACGCUGACGCUGACCGAGCAGGAGUGGAACUCGGCAAAGGAGGUGACCUGCGAGGCCACCGCAGACGGCCAGUCCGCGAAGCCAAGCACGCUGAGGAAGAGCGACUGUCUGGGGUGACCGUACGAGCCCUGACUUACUGCCUGUCAUUUAUUAAUACCGACAAGUCGGCUUCUCCUGUAGCUUGUGGUAGCUGCUUUGCUCGAAGUUGUGUGUUAAUCUCAUACUUUAUACAGUCUGUGUCUGUCUUGUUAUUCCGUGUGAGUUAUGUAAUCUGCAUGCGACGCCUUGUAGUGUUUUAAAAAUGUGAUGCUUUCAGCUUUGACAGAAGGAAAAUAAAGACUUAUCUGCCAUUA